UGCAGUCGAACGAGGUGCCUUUGUAGCAAUACGAGGGUAUCCUAGUGGCGAACGGGUGAGUAACGCGUUGGUGACCUGCCCCAAAGUGUGGGAUAACAGUCCGAAAGGACUGCUAAUACCGCAUGUGGCCAUCGGGUUUAGAAGCCGAUGUCUAAAGCAGCAAUGCGCUUUGGGAGGGACCUGCGUCCCAUCAGCUAGUUGGUGAGGUAAUGGCUCACCAAGGCGACGACGGGUAGGGGACCUGAGAGGGUGACCCCCCACAAUGGAACUGAAACACGGUCCAUACACCUACGGGUGGCAGCAGUAGGGAAUAUUGCUCAAUGGGCGAAAGCCUGAAGCAGCAACGCCGCGUGUGCGAUGAAGGCCUUCGGGUCGUAAAGCACUUUUCUGCGAGAUGAGAAAGGACAGUAUCGUAGGAAUAAGUCUCGGCUAACUACGUGCCAGCAGCCGCGGUAAAACGUAGGAGGCAAGCGUUAUCCGGAUUCACUGGGCGUAAAGCGCGUGCAGGCGGUUCGGUAAGUUGGGCGUGAAAUCUCCUGGCUUAACUAGGAGAGGUCGUCCAAUACUACCGGGCUUGAGAGUGGUAGAGGAAGAUGGAAUUCCCGGUGUAGUGGUGAAAUGCGUAGAUAUCGGGAGGAACACCAGUGGCGAAAGCGAUCUUCUGGACCAUUUCUGACGCUCAGACGCGAAAGCUAGGGUAGUAAACGGGAUUAGAGACCCCGGUAAUCCUAGCCGUAAACGAUGUAAACUUGGCGUCGGUGGCUUAAACUCCAUCGGUGCCGCAGCUAACGCGAUAAGUUUACCGCCUGGGGACUACGAUCGCAAGAUUAAAACUCAAAGGAAUUGAC
rnacentral:rRNA from 1 species